GAACGCGAGGCGAGGCAGAGGAAAGGGUGCGUGUACGCAUCCGUCCUGAAUGAAUGUGUACGCGCCAACACCCUCGCGGAACAUGCGAGACACGCCAAGUUCAGGUUGGACACGGAGAGACGAGUAGUUGGAACAACGAGAGAUCGACGAGAGAUGGAAAAUGUGUCCAAACACGGAGGCCAGAGGACCUUUGGAAGCUUUGUUUAGAGAUUGUUAUUGUGUAAUAUAUAAAUCACACUGUUUCGAAAGUUCGUGGCAGAAUCGCCUAAAA